rnacentral:rRNA from 1 species
CCUACGGGUGGCAGCAGUAGGGAAUAUUGCUCAAUGGGGGAAACCCUGAAGCAGCAACGCCGCGUGGAGGAUGAAGGUUUUCGGAUUGUAAACUCCUUUUGUUAGAGAAGAUAAUGACGGUAUCUAACGAAUAAGCACCGGCUAACGCCGUGCCAGCAGCCGCGGUAAUACGGAGGGUGCAAGCGUUAAUCGGAACCACUGGGCGUAAAGGGCGAGGUGGCGGGAUUGCAAGUACGAUGUGAAAUCCUAUGGCUUAACCAUAGAACUGCAUUUGAAAAUGUUAUUCUAGAGUAUGCGAGAGGUAGGUGGAAUUCUUGGUGUAGGGGUAAAAUCCGUAGAGAUCAAGAGGAAUACUCAUUGCGAAGGCGACCUGCUAGAACAUAACUGACGCUGAUGCGCGAAAGCGUGGGGAGCAAACAGGAUUAGAUACCCCAGUAGUC